AGAUGAUCAGGUUGAUAGGUUAGAAGUGGAAGUGUGGUGACACAUGUAGCGGACUAAUACUAAUAGCUCGAGGACUUAUCCAA
rnacentral:rRNA from 1 species